rnacentral:lncRNA from 1 species
CUGUCUGUGGGAAUCGAUACAAAAAGUUGUGUUGGUUCUCUUUCAUUUUUUCACAUCCACUGUGAAUCUGCAAAAAAUUCCACAAACCUCACCGGAUUUUUCCAAAAAAAAAAAAAAAACAUUCGCUAAGCUCCAAAACUCAUCCCUCAAACACCAUCACUCCCCUCUCUCUCUCUCUCUACCUCUGAACUCACGCCUUUCCCCACAACCCACACAUUUUCCACUUUUCAAAAAAACUGCUCCGAUUGACGAGGGUUUGACUGUGGCGGUUGACGAAAAGGAAAGCCAGAAGCUGAUCAAGCAGGUUGAAGAAGAAGAGA